UGCAGUUUGCAGCAAGCUCUCGAAUCCGCCUGGUGAUUGGGGUGACCUCGAACCUGGCCUGAGACCCCGGAUACUUGAGUUUUCGGGGGUCUAACAUUUUGGGGGCUCGUCCGCGAUUUGCGACCACCCUUCACCUGAGUGGAUUCGAUCUUGGAGGGGGUCAGGGGUCUUUUCUUCUCUGAGCACAUGGCGCCACCUCAACUGUUAUCGGCAGAUGCGCCGGAGGACAGACUGCCACUCUGAGGACACCCAGGACCCAAGAGUUUAUAAUGUCAGACAGACUGCCAGAUCCGGACAGUGACCCAAAGUCUCCAAAGAAGAUUACGAGGCACCUCAGUUCCUGCACCUGGACCAGUGAGCGAGAUGCUCAGAUGUGAAACCUGCCGCCUGCCAGAACCUGGCCGAGAAUGUGGACAAAGCUGCUGGACACUGGAAAAUUGAUUGUACCCCUUUGCCUAGACAAAACAAGGUCAGUCUUUUCCAUGUCCCUCUUCCACAGAGAGGAAAAAAACUCUCACAGUAUAGGCCUGGCGAAGAUUGCUGGUCUUUGAGACACCUGCCUCCAGCGGUAAUGGAGAAACUUGGGUAUGGACUGGCUUCUAACUGGCUUCUGUCACUUUUUAGUAGAUUCGGACAAAAUAUACCCUUCUCAGAUCUCUGAAAUAUUACUGGUUGUU
rnacentral:lncRNA from 1 species